rnacentral:misc_RNA from 1 species
GAUGAAGAACGUAGCGAAAUGCGAUAAGUAAUGCGAAUUGCAGAAUUCAGUGAGUCAUCGAAUCUUUGAACGCAUAUUGCGCCCGCCAGAAUACUGGCGGGCAUGCCUGUCCGAGCGUCAUUUCAACCCUCGAACCCCUCCGGGGGGUCGGCGUUGGGGAUCGGCCCUCCCUUAGCGGGUGGCCGUCUCCGAAAUACAGUGGCGGUCUCGCCGCAGCCUCUCCUGCGCAGUAGUUUGCACACUCGCAUCGGGAGCGCGGCGCGUCCACAGCCGUUAAACACCCAACUUCUGAAAUGUUGACCUCGGAUCAGGUAGGAAUACCCGCUGAACUUAAGCAUAUCAAUAAGCGGAGGA